GAUGAACGCUAGCUACAGGCUUAACACAUGCAAGUCGAGGGGUAACAUUGGCUGAGCUUGCUCAGCCAGAUGGCGACCGGCGCACGGGUGAGUAACGCGUAUCCAACUUCCCCUACUCAGGCAUAGCCCGGUGAAAACCGGAUUAACUCCUGAUAGUUUCACUAGAUGGCAUCUGACGGUGAAUAAAGCUCAGCGGUAAGGGAUGGGGAUGCGUCUGAUUAGCUUGUUGGCGGGGUAACGGCCCACCAAGGCGACGAUCAGUAGGGGUUCUGAGAGGAAGGUCCCCCACAUUGGAACUGAGACACGGUCCAAACUCC
rnacentral:rRNA from 1 species